rfam:Stegodyphus mimosarum contig84521, whole genome shotgun sequence.
GCCUUCGUGGUGUAGUGGUCAGCACGCUCGACGCGUAACCGACAGGCCCGUGGUUCGAUUCCCGGCGAAGGCG